rnacentral:rRNA from 1 species
AUUGAACGCUGGCGGCAGGCCUAACACAUGCAAGUCGAGCGGAGCGGCGGAAGGGUGAUUAAUGCCUAGGAAUCUGCCCGGUAGUGGGGGGUCACGUCGGGGAAGAGGCGCUAAUACCGCAUGCUUUAAGAUGAGCCUAGGUGGGAGUAGCUGGUUGGUGGGGUAAAGGCUUACCAAGGCGACGAUCCGUAACUGGUCUGAGAGGAUGAUCAGUCACACUGGAACUGAGACACGGUCCAGACUCCUACGGGAGGCAGCAGUGGGGAAUAUUGGACAAUGGGCGAAAGCCUGCUCCAGCCAUGCCGCGUGUGUGAAGAAGGUCUUCGGAUUGUAAAGCACUUUAAGUUGGGAGGCGUUACCAACAGAAUAAGCACCGGCUAACUUCGUGCCAGCAGCCGCGGUAAUUC